GAUACCCUAUUAUUAAAAACGUAAUUAUAAAUUUUAGACUAUUAAAAUUUAAUAUUUAAAAAUCUAAAGUUUUGGCGGUAUUUUAAUCUUGUCNGAGGAACCUGUUUAAUAAUUGAUAAUCCCCAAUGGAAAUAACUUGAAUUUUUAAUUUAUAUAUCGUUGUUAAAAAAAUUUUAAAAGAUAAUUUUUAAAAGUUUAAAAUUGAAUUAACUUCAAAUCAAGAUGUAGUUUAUAUUUAAGAUUUAAUGGGUUACAAUAUAUUUAUAUUUAGAAGUAAGAUAAAAAAAAUUACUAAAAAUGGAUUGAAAGUAA
rnacentral:rRNA from 1 species